GCUUGCCCUCCUUGGGCGUUUCCUCCCUAGACUUGGGCCGCCAGCUCUGCUCGGCGGCCUCUUUAUUUC
rnacentral:sRNA from 1 species